AUGUAUGGCAGCAGAAGUGAUGUUCCAUGUCCCAAACAGUCAGCCACCCAAGUUCUGGAUGUUGCCAAAAUUUUGCAUGAAACUGAGAUACCCAAGCUUCAGUACCAUCAAAGAGGCUGCAGAAUGUUCACGGUGAAGACACCUUUUCUGUGUUAUUGAGAAAAAACAAAGUGUUAUGGCUUUGGAAAAAGAAAUUUCUAGGAAGUCACUAAAACAGGUUACAAAUGAGGUGGAAGACUAAUACUUAAAAAGACAAAGGACUUGUGAACGGUAAUUGCACAGCCAGUGUUUCCCGUUUGGAAGAAGCACUUAAAUGUGUCAACAAGACUUGUGGCAACAUCUGCUGAGCACAUUUUGAUGCCAUCCUUUAUAGCCACUCAUUUUUACAAGGCAUAACAAUUUCUGAAAUAUAUCUGAGUCUACAGUGCUGUGAGCAGCUGAGAAAUCUAUCAGUUUCUUGACACUGAAAUGAGAUAGACUUGUUCUCUUCCUUCUCUUUCUGCCGCUCUUUCCACCCUUCCAUGGUCUUUGCUGAUUAGUUUUCAGCAGGGUUAAGAAGCUGAAUUGAUUCGAGAAAGGGUCCAACCAGCUUUAGAUUUUUGUCUGUACGGGCCUUGUAGCAAAACGGAUGGGAUGAAGAUUGAGUGGAACUUCUUCCUUUGAGCAAAAAAUGUGUUAUUAGAGUCACUAACUGCAUUUUGUGGAUCCUAAGAGAUGGCGGUAAUUGAAAUAUUCUGGGUCUCUUACUCUGAUAUCAAGAUGCAAUGUUAAGGUCAGCAUGGACUGGUAGGGAAAAAAUAUUGGACCUGCGUCUGAAUUCCAUCUGUGCCAUUGUGCCCUGGACCUACGCAUCCAAUUAUCUGAACUGUACACAAUCACUAACUAGCUUACAAUACGCAAAUGAUGUGUUUAUAUGUAAACCACACAAAAGGGCAUGUUCUGAGACUGCAGGAGAUAAAUCCAGAAAGUAGUUGGUGUCAUCAAAGUGCUGAACACUGAAGCAUCUGUACGAGAUACUUGAGGGACAGGUUAAAACUGAGUUGCUCCAAGAAAAUUAGCAGAACUCAAAAUACCUAGGAUACUGAAAUAACAAACAGAUAUUAUAUCUUUGGUUUAGUAUGUAAUAUGCUUGGGAGAAAGAGAUAUUCUAAUAUGUGGUGAUAUGGUCAGCCUAGUAACUGCUCAGUUGUCCUCCUUCUCCUGUUCAUUUUCACAGAGGACUUUCUGAAAUGCAACAAGGUAGAGUAACAAGCAUACCACAGUUUCAAGAAGAAACAUUUUGAGAAUAAUUCUUCUACACGGAAAUGUUACGAUCAGACAUCCAAAUAAACAUUUUCAGACUUUUUUUUUCUAAGGGAGUUGGAAGGAUCUCAGGAAAUGAGUAAUUCUCAGAAUAGGCAGGAAUUUACUUGGGAACUUAUUAGUUGCUGGACACUAGAGAAGUACUGGCAUGUCCAUUAUUCCCUGGGCAUUGGCACUACUCAGUAGAUGUCCGUGUGAUUAAUGGAAUGAGCCUGGUCCAGACAAUGAAGAGUGUUAAAAAAGACCUUUGCAGAGCUUGUGGAAAGUGCCUGGUUAUUAGUAAUACACAGAGGUGCAGAAAGUUGAAGAAUUUUUGUAGCUGUUGACGUUUCUUGGGAGAUGUCCAUAAAAAACGCUGGAGGUGGAAGAGGAUGUCUGAUACAUUCAUUUAAAGAGUAGACCUGCAGAUCAGAUGCAAGAUAGCUAACAAAGGAAGAAAAAUUAAGUUUGAGUCUAACAAGUUACACUUGAGCAAUAAAUGACAGUGUGUCAUUCAGUGUGUGAAUAAAUCAUGCACACUCGAAAUUAGCUUGGACUUUGUGAAAUGCUUGUGUCCCUGUCAAACCAACGAAUGCAUGUGCAUUAGCAAUAGACUCUAGUCCUUGUGUGUAAGCUAAAAAGCUGUAUCAAAAACCAAGCUGAUGAAGGCGGCAAUUUGAUGUAUUUAUAUCAAAGAAAGUCAGGAAUAUGAGGAAGAGGCAGAGAGAGAAUUCUAAUAUCGCUAGAAAUUAGUAUGCUUUAUAAUACAUCUUUUAGUAUGAUUCUCCAAAGAAAAUAGCACAUUACUUGUUUAUGAUUACUUCAGACAAAUAAUAAAUUUAUUUUAGCUGUU